rnacentral:rRNA from 1 species
UUUUAUUUGAUGUAUUAGGAUUAUAACUAUGUUAAAUUAUAGAUAACAAUAAUACAAUAAGAAUAAGAUCUAUCAGUUAGUUGUUAAGGUAAUGGCUUAACAAGACUAUGACGGAUAACGGUAUUACUUUGUAAUAUUCCGGAGAAGGAGCCUGAGAGAUUGCUACUAAGUCUAAGGAUUGCAGCAGGGGCGAAACUUGACCUAUGAUAUGAUAUUGAGGCAGUUAUGAGUAGUAUUUUU